rnacentral:rRNA from 1 species
CCUACGGGUGGCAGCAGUCGAGAAUCAUUCACAAUGGGGGAAACCCUGAUGGUGCGACGCCGCGUGGGGGAAUGAAGGUCUUCGGAUUGUAAACCCCUGUCAUGUGGGAGCAAAUUAAAAAGAUAGUACCACAAGAGGAAGAGACGGCUAACUCUGUGCCAGCAGCCGCGGUAAUACAGAGGUCUCAAGCGUUGUUCGGAAUCACUGGGCGUAAGGCGUGCGUAGGCUGUUUCGUAAGUCGGGUGUGAAAGGCGCGGGCUCAACCCGCGGACGGCACAUGAUACUGCGAGACUAGAGUAAUGGAGGGGGAACCGGAAUUCUCGGUGUAGCAGUGAAAUGCGUAGAUAUCGAGAGGAACACUCGUGGCGAAGGCGGGUUCCUGGACAUUAACUGACGCUGAGGCACGAAGGCCAGGGGAGCGAAAGGGAUUAGAUACCCGGGUAGUC